UGCAAGUCGAGCGGACAGAUGGGAGCUUGCUCCCUGAUGUUAGCGGCGGACGGGUGAGUAACACGUGGGUAACCUGCCUGUAAGACUGGGAUAACUCCGGGAACCGGGGCUAAUACCGGAUGGUUGUUUGAACCGCAUGGUUCAAACAUAAAAGGUGGCUUCGGCUACCACUUACAGAUGGACCCGCGGCGCAUUAGCUAGUUGGUGAGGUAACGGCUCACCAAGGCAACGAUGCGUAGCCGACCUGAGAGGGUGAUCGGCCACACUGGGACUGAGACACGGCCCAGACUCCUACGGGAGGCAGCAGUAGGGAAUCUUCCGCAAUGGACGAAAGUCUGACGGAGCAACGCCGCGUGAGUGAUGAAGGCUUUCGGAUCGUAAAACUCUGUUGUUAGGGAAGAACAAGUACCGUUCGAAUAGGGCGGUACCUUGACGGUACCUAACCAGAAAGCCACGGCUAACUACGUGCCAGCAGCCGCGGUAAUACGUAGGUGGCAAGCGUUGUCCGGAAUUAUUGGG
rnacentral:rRNA from 1 species